GAUGAACGCUGGCGGCGUGCCUAAUACAUGCAAGUCGAGCGAACGGACGAGAAGCUUGCUUCUCUGAUGUUAGCGGCGGACGGGUGAGUAACACGUGGAUAACCUACCUAUAAGACUGGGAUAACUUCGGGAAACCGGAGCUAAUACCGGAUGAUAUUUUGAACCGCAUGGUUCAAAAGUGAAAGACGGUCUUGCUGUCACUUAUAGAUGGAUCCGCGCUGCAUUAGCUAGUUGGUAAGGUAACGGCUUACCAAGGCAACGAUGCAUAGCCGACCUGAGAGGGUGAUCGGCCACACUGGAACUGAGACACGGUCCAGACUCCUACGGGAGGCAGCAGUAGGGAAUCUUCCGCAAUGGGCGCAAGCCUGACGGAGCAACGCCGCGUGAGUGAUGAAGGUCUUCGGAUCGUAAAACUCUGUUAUUAGGGAAGAACAUAUGUGUACGUAACUGUGCACAUCUUGACGGUACCUAAUCAGAAAGCCACGGCUAACUACGUG
rnacentral:rRNA from 1 species